CUGCACAUACUUUCGGCCGACCUAAAAUGUCAUGUACCAUUCGUAAAUCUCGAGCUUUCAGUGCUUUCUAUAGCGAGAUGAUGUAAGGACAGUCCACCGAUCGGCCUAAUAACUAAAAAUUAGUUUAGUCAUCUAGCUCGUUGAGUGGAUAGUUUUGUACACACAGCUCUUUCUCGUCGUAAGAAGACGUCCUGUUGUCUGAAAGUCUGAUCCACCCAGUUAAUUACUAAAUACAUAAGUGAUAUGUGUAUAGUGGUGUCUUUGAGCCGACCUUCCUGGCUGGAAAUGUUUCAUACGCAGAGAGAAAGGAGCUUGAAGAUUAGGCUUAUUGCAACUAAAAAACGAGAGGUCCAUGAACGUUAAAAGGAUGCUUCAACGAGAAACGCAUAGAAUUUCCGUGUGGUAAACAGGGUCACGUCAACCCAAUGGCGGAUCCACCACUGAUCUAGAACUCGGAUUAGUUAAGCUCUUAACGAUAACUGGUGUCCUGGCCGAGCCCAGAGCAUAACUUCAUGCAGGUGUUUUUCGAAAAUCUAGAGCAAUACUUAGAAUUGGUCUAAGAAGAGACGCAAUUUAACCGGUGUGUGGCGAGCUGGCACGAUGGUGUCCUUGACGAAGAGCGUGUCGAGGUGAAAGUAACGUGUGGUCUUCCGGAUGACUAGAGGAA
rnacentral:lncRNA from 11 species